rnacentral:rRNA from 1 species
AUUGAACGCUGGCGGCAUGCCUUACACAUGCAAGUCGAACGGUAACGCGGGGCAACCUGGCGACGAGUGGCGAACGGGUGAGUAAUGCAUCGGAACGUGCCCAGUAGUGGGGGAUAGCCCGGCGAAAGCCGGAUUAAUACCGCAUACGACCUACGGGUGAAAGGGGGGGAUCGCAAGACCUCUCGCUAUUGGAGCGGCCGAUGUCAGAUUAGGUAGUUGGUGGGGUAAAGGCCUACCAAGCCUACGAUCUGUAGCUGGUCUGAGAGGACGACCAGCCACACUGGGACUGAGACACGGCCCAGACUCCUACGGGAGGCAGCAGUGGGGAAUUUUGGACAAUGGGCGCAAGCCUGAUCCAGCCAUGCCGCGUGCGGGAAGAAGGCCUUCGGGUUGUAAACCGCUUUUGUCAGGGAAGAAAAGGCCACGGACAAUACCCGUGGUUCUUGACGGUACCGGCGGAAUAAGCACCGGCUAACUACGUGCCAGCCGCCGCGGUAAUAC